UUGUAAAGAACUUUGAAGAGGACUUGAAAA
rnacentral:sRNA from 1 species